CACCGCGGUUAUACGAGUGACUCAUAUUAAUACAUCACGGCGUAAAGAGUGAUUAAAGAAUGAUCUUUAAUAACUAAAGUUUAGACCUCAUAAGGCCGUCAUACGCAUUCAUGAACGGAAUAACCAACAACGAAAGUGACUUUAAAUACCAAGAAACCUUGAUGUCACGACAAUUGGGAUC
rnacentral:rRNA from 1 species